AUACAAAGGUCUUGAUCUUUUCAAACUGCACUAUAAAUAACCACAUUUGUUUCAUACCUCUCAUGAACGCGGUUUCAAGAGAUCAUUCCCUUGUUAAUUUAGCACACGAAUUUAAAGAGCCAUAAAAAUACUGCGCCAGUGUGUGGGGAUUUUAAGGUUAAGCUGAACCGUGCUGCUGUGGGAAAGGUUAGUUUUACCCCUAUGGGAAGGGUCGCUGCGUUGCUCUAAGAAGGAGCAGGCUCUGGGAGGAGUUACACCGAGCGACUUUGCAUUGAUGGGCGAGGAAGGUGCGGGCAAGACUGAGAAAAAGAACUAAAAGCAGACCGUGGCACACGAGGAUGCAGGAAGACCAGUUUGUUUUCUACUCAGCCUGAGAGCAGUUCAGCCUGCCUCCCAUCAAAGGCUAGUUUGUCUUUACAGUAGCCUAUUAACUAAAACAUACUACCAUCACAAUAACUUCUUCAGACUGAGGAAGGAAAUCAGCCUGGGCUUUCCACAUCCUGCAAGCAUCAUCUCUAACACCAGUUAUCUCCUUGUCCAGUCACGCUUUUAAAAAAUGCAAAGAGAACCCCACCACUGCCUUUUGUACAGAACCUGAAUAUACAGGCUUGUAUGAGGCACACUAUGAGAACAUGCAGGCAAUGAAGCCUGUCUUGUAGGCUAUGGAGGAGAAGCAUCUGAAGCAUUCCACAGCAUUCUCCUGGAA
rnacentral:lncRNA from 1 species